UGCCUAAUACAUGCAAGUAGAACGCUGAAGAAAGGAGCUUGCUUCUUUUGGAUGAGUUGCGAACGGGUGAGUAACGCGUAGGUAACCUGCCUUGUAGCGGGGGAUAACUAUUGGAAACGAUAGCUAAUACCGCAUAAUAGCUUUUGACACAUGUUAGAAGCUUAAAAGAUGCAAUUGCAUCACUACGAGAUGGACCUGCGUUGUAUUAGCUAGUAGGUAGGGUAACGGCCUACCUAGGCGACGAUACAUAGCCGACCUGAGAGGGUGAUCGGCCACACUGGGACUGAGACACGGCCCAGACUCCUAC
rnacentral:rRNA from 1 species